UGGACCGAUUGGGUGAUAUUCAU
rnacentral:siRNA from 1 species